rnacentral:siRNA from 1 species
UUGGGCUAGAGUUUUGGACCU